UACAGAGGAUGCAAGCGUUAUCCGGAAUGAUUGGGCGUAAAGCGUCUGUAGGUGGCUUUUUAAGUCCGCCGUCAAAUCCCAGGGCUCAACUCUGGACAGGCGGUGGAAACUACCAAGCUGGAGUACGGUAGGGGCAGAGGGAAUUUCCGGUGGAGCGGUGAAAUGCGUAGAUAUCAAGAGGAACACCUGAGGUGAAGACGGGUUGCUGGGCCGACACUGACGCUGAGUGCGCGAAAGCCAGGGGAGCAAACGGG
rnacentral:rRNA from 1 species